CGCGUAGGCGGGAUAAUAGGUCGAUUGUGAAAUCCCCGGGCUCAACCUGGGAACUGCAGUCGAAACCAUUAUUCUUGAAUAUCUGAGAGGGUGGGGGAAUACCUAGUGGAGCAGUGAAAUGCGUAGAGAUUAGGUGGAACACCGGAGGCGAAGGCGCCUGCCUGGCAGAAUAUUGACGCUGAGGCGCGAAAGCGUGGGUAGCAAACA
rnacentral:rRNA from 1 species